rnacentral:rRNA from 1 species
CCUACGGGUGACAGCAGUGAGGAAUAUUGGUCAAUGGGCGGAAGCCUGAACCAGCCAAGUCGCGUGAGGGAAUACGGCCCUAUGGAUCGUAAACCUCUUUUGCCGGGGAGCAAGGCCCGGCACGUGUGCCGGCCCGGAGAGUACCCGGAGAAAAAGCCUCGGCUAACUCCGUGCCAGCAGCCGCGGUAAUACGGAGGAUGCGAGCGUUAUCCGGAUUUAUUGGGUUUAAAGGGUGCGUAGGCGGGCUGUUAAGUCAGCGGUAAAAAUUCGGGGCUCAACCCCGGCCGGCCGUUGAAACUGGGGGCCUUGAGUGGGCGAGAAGAAGGCGGAAUGCGUGGUGUAGCGGUGAAAUGCAUAGAUAUCACGCAGAACCCCGAUUGCGAAGGCAGCCUACCGGCGCCCAACUGACGCUGAGGCACGAAAGUGCGGGGAUCGAACAGGAUUAGAUACCCUUGUAGUC